rnacentral:rRNA from 1 species
AUUGAACGCUGGCGGCAUGCCUUACACAUGCAAGUCGAACGGCAUCGCGGGAAAGCUUGCUUUCCUGGCGGCGAGUGGCGAACGGGUGAGUAACACAUCGGAACGUACCGGCUAGUGGGGGAUAACCCGUCGAAAGACGGGCUAAUACCGCAUACGCUCUUCGGAGGAAAGCAGGUGACCUUUGGGCCUUGCGCUAGUCGAGCGGCCGAUGUCCGAUUAGCUAGUUGGUGGGGUAAAGGCCUACCAAGGCGACGAUCGGUAGCGGGUUUGAGAGGACGAUCCGCCGCACUGGGACUGAGACACGGCCCAGACUCCUACGGGAGGCAGCAGUGGGGAAUCUUGGACAAUGGGGGCAACCCUGAUCCAGCAAUGCCGCGUGGGUGAAGAAGGCCUUCGGGUUGUAAAGCCCUUUCGGCAGGGAAGAAAUCGGCGGGGCGAAUAACCCUGCUGGAUGACGGUACCUGCAGAAGAAGCACCGGCUAACUACGUG